AGAGUUUGAUUAUGGCUCAGGAUGAACGCUAGCUACAGGCUUAACACAUGCAAGUCGAGGGGCAGCAUAUCGAAAGCUUGCUUUGAUGAUGGCGACCGGCGCACGGGUGAGUAACGCGUAUCCAACUUCCCUAUGCUAGAGGAUAGCCCGGCGAAAGUCGGAUUAAUACUCUAUGUUCUUCGUAGAAGACAUCUGAAAUGAAGCAAAGGUUUACCGGUAUAGGAUGGGGAUGCGUCUGAUUAGGUUGUUGGCGGGGUAACGGCCCACCAAGCCCACGAUCAGUAGGGGUUCUGAGAGGAAGGUCCCCCACAUUGGAACUGAGACACGGUCCAAACUCCUACGGGAGGCAGCAGUGAGGAAUAUUGGUCAAUGGACGAGAGUCUGAACCAGCCAAGUAGCCGUGCAGGAUGACGGCCCUAUGGGUUGUAAACUGCUUUUAUACAGGGAUAAAGUGACGUACGUGUACGUUUUUGUAGGUACUGUAUGAAUAAGGACCGGCUAAUUCCGUGCCAGCCGCCGC
rnacentral:rRNA from 1 species